rnacentral:lncRNA from 1 species
UCCACCUAGGGUAAGGGCCUCUCCCAGGCUUCCGUCUAAUCUAGCUAGCACUUGUCACAGUGGGUUGUAACUGCCUGGUUAUGUGCACAUCUCCCCCAUGCUGUGAGUACCUGGAGAAUGACUAGGCUGGCUUGCUAACUGCUGCAUCCUCAGUUCUUAGCACACAGUAGGUGCUUAAUCUAUAUGGGCUGAAUGAAUGAAAGUGUGCAUGACUGCAGGCUUGUUGAACUGAAUGGAACUCUAGUAACCCUAUAGGGGGUAUAGAAGAGACUCUGAAGUCCUGAGAUCAAUCCCACUUUGCUUCUAAUUUACUGUGUGAUCUUGAGCAAGACCCUCUCUGAGCCGUAGUUAAUCCCUCCCAAAGUGGCGGUGAGGAUUAAAUGAAUGAAAAGAAACUUUGCACACUAUGAAGUACAGUGCCCAUGUAGGGUGAGAGGGGACCUCUCCACACAGAUCUCUGGGUCUGAUUUCCCUUCUGCCCUGGUUCCUUGCCCAGAAGCUCUACUCCUGCAGCUACAGACCCUGCCACCUUCCCAGCGCCCCCCACUCCCGCUGGCUCCCCAAACUCUCUGAUUCACAGGGCAGGCACACUCUUUGCUGCAAACCAGAGGACUCUUCCAAAAGUGGCUUUCCCUUUCCUAGCCUCCAUCCCCACUGCCGCCACAUUCCCUUCCCCUUUCCAUGGCUCUGGCUUUGACUAGGAAGGAGAGACCAGCUGGUCCAAUGUGAAGGGGCCUGGGGAGUUGGGGGAAGGUGACACCCUGGAAGUUUCUCUCAGGCUGGAAGACCAUCUGUUUCCGGGCCCGGGUCAGCAUGAGAGAGGCCCUGGCCCCCGGCCAGCAUCCAUCACUACCUGAUGGGCCACCUGCCCACCUCCCUGCCCACUCCUGCCCCCUCCUCUGCCAGCUCCUAGCUAACCACAGACAAAGGGCUCACACAGCCCAGGGCCACCGUGGGCUGGAGCAGGGAUGGAGGAAGAGAAGAGAGGAGGGCUCUGAGUACCAGGAAUGUGGGGUCAGUGGGGAGUGUGGAAAGAACACACUGUGGUCUGGGGAUAAAAGGCCUGGGUUCUGCCUCGCUCUGCCCCUUUUGGCAACAGGACCAAAACUGUGGCUGUUCCUUCCAGCCAGCACGAAAAGCUCUCUGCCAAGGGCCUGUGAGAUUUUCAUGGGCCUAGGAAAAUGUUUGAAGCCUGAAAAAAAAAACUUGGCUCCAAAACACAGGGAAAAACUACAGAAUCAAAAUUAAUAAAUGUUUAAUUAAAUGUGUGCAAAACAGAACAUGAUGUCAGCCAGUCAACUACAAUUUGGCU